rnacentral:snoRNA from 1 species
UUUAUAUACCCUCUUUUUCAACGUGUUAAUGCCCCCGCGCGAGGACUCCGGGGACGAAUGAACCGGAGUGCGAUGCGGGGGCCACAGCCCGGUCUUACAGCGAGGUCCCCGCGGGAGGGCCUUCCGCGUUACGGAGCACGAUGGCCGCGGGAAACCCAGACCGGGCACAGACGGCCCGCCUGGGUUAGCCCGCCCGAGCCCGCCGUCUGGCAUCGAUGAGGGUGGGAGUUACGGGCGGGCCAUAGCAUC